rnacentral:lncRNA from 1 species
AUGACACCCCCCCCCGUCGCCACAACUUCCCUCCCCUGGGAAUCAGCCUGGGCCCCCGCAGGACCGUCCCAUGGGAGCAGGAAGGGGGGGGGGAACAAGCCUCACAUCCUUAUUCUGAAACUGAGAAGAAUCUCCCAGAGGUCCAGGCACCCCCUCUUACUGGGAAGUGGGAGCAAGGCUUCGCUCUCCUCGUCCAACGAAGAGCCCGAGAGAAGCCGAAGCCGCGUCGCCUCGCUCCACCUGUUCAAUCCGGAUUCAAAAGCAGGAAGGCGAACCCGAGGACGAGGCCCCCGCUGCCAUCUGCCGCAACGUAGCGCCACUCCCCCCCCCCCCGCUCGCCGAGGAGGCUCCUCGGGGCGCCAAGCCCUCUCGGGUCCCCGUCCCCCCCGCCAGAGGGAGAGGGGCUCCGGGAGGAGGAGGAGGAGGAGGGAAGCCCGGGACCCGCCCGGGGGUCUCUCCGCCCGCGCACCCACCUUCCGCCGCUUCGCGCUCCUUGCCGCAGGCGACGCAGUUCGGCCGGCCGAGAAGCAGCAGCGGAGGCAGGACGGACUUGCGGCGGCCCAGGGCCUCGCUCCUUCCUUCUCUCGGCGCGUCUGCACGGCUGCCUCGCCCGUCGCGCCUCUGCGCCGCUUGGUCCCCGGCAACGCGGCUCCCUCUCGCUCGCCCGUUCUCUUCGAAAAGGGGCGGCGGCAGCAGCAGCAGCCGGGCAGCCGCGUCCGCCUCCUCCGGCGGCCAAGUCCCGAGCGGGGCUCCUCGCCGCCCGCCCGCCCGCCCUCCUUCCUCCGCUCUCUGCCGGGCCCCGCUCUCUUCCCGCGAAGGGGCGCCGCCGGCUCGGGCCCCUCCGCCCGCCCGCCCGCCCGCCCGCCUUCCUCCGCCUCCCCUCGGCCCCUUCCCUCCUUUGCGCCCCGGGCCUGGCGGCUCCCCCUCCUCUCUCUCGGCAGCCCCCCUGGUCGCGCCGCCAGAGGCCGGCGGGCUCCCUUCAGCGGAGGUUUCGCCUUCCUUCCAGGCCGCACAUCCCUGAAGCCCCGCGCGAGGAGGAGAAGCGGGAGGACUCGGCGCUCGCCCAGGGACUUCCGCGGACUUCCGUCCUGGGCCGCCUGGAAAAGGCCUGAGGCGGCGGCAGCCAUUAUCCCAACUGGAUGA